UACGUAGGGUGCAAGCGUUUGUCCGGAAUUAUUGGGCGUAAAGAGCUUGUAGGCGGUUUGUCGCGUCUGCUGUGAAAUUUCGGGGCUCAACCCCCGAACUUGCAGUGGGUACGGGCAGACUAGAGUGUGGUAGGGGAGACUGGAAUUCCUGGUGUAGCGGUGAAAUGCGCAGAUAUCAGGAGGAACACCGAUGGCGAAGGCAGGUCUCUGGGCCAUAACUGACGCUGAGAAGCGAAAGCAUGGGGAGCGAACAGG
rnacentral:rRNA from 1 species